CCUACGGGAGGCAGCAGUGAGGAAUAUUGGUCAAUGGGCGGAAGCCUGAACCAGCCAAGUCGCGUGAGGGAAUAAGGCCCUACGGGUCGUAAACCUCUUUUGCCGGGGAGCAAGGGCGGGGACGUGUCCCGGCCCGGAGAGUACCCGGAGAAAAAGCAUCGGCUAACUCGGUGCCAGCAGCCGCGGUAAGACGGAGGAUGGGGGCGUUAUCCGGAUUUAUUGGGCGUAAGGGGUGCGUAGGCGGCCUGCUAAGUCUGGGGUGAAGGGUACCGGGCAAAUCGGGAUAGGCUCGGGAAACUGGCGGGCUAGAGAGCAGGAGAGGGCGGUGGAACUCCAUGUGUAGCGGUAAAAUGCGUAGAUAUAUGGAAGAACACCAGUGGCGAAGGCGGGCGCCUGGCCUGUUACUGACGCUGAGGCACGAAAGCGUGGGGAGCAAAUAGGAUUAGAUACCCUAGUAGUC
rnacentral:rRNA from 1 species